rnacentral:rRNA from 1 species
GUGGGGAAUAUUGGACAAUGGGCGAAAGCCUGAUCCAGCCAUGCCGCGUGUGUGAAGAAGGUCUUCGGAUUGUAAAGCACUUUAAGUUGGGAGGAAGGGCAGUAAGUUAAUACCUUGCUGUUUUGACGUUACCGACAGAAUAAGCACCGGCUAACUUCGUGCCAGCAGCCGCGGUAAUACGAAGGGUGCAAGCGUUAAUCGGAAUUACUGGGCGUAAAGCGCGCGUAGGUGGUUUUGUAAGUUGGAGGUGGAAUCCCCGGGCUCAACCUGGGAACUGCCUCCAAAACUGCAUGACUAGAGUACGGUAGAGGGUAGUGGAAUUUCCUGUGUAGCGGUGAAAUGCGUAGAUAUAGGAAGGAACACCAGUGGCGAAGGCGACUACCUGGACUGAUACUGACACUGAGGUGCGAAAGCGUGGGGAGCAAACAGGAUUAGAUACCCCGGUAGUCC